CUCUCUUUUAAAAAAAGAACCACCGAAUCCUUUUCUCAUUUUGCUUCUUAAAAAAUCCGCUACAAAAACCCUCCCCGAACCACACUCGGCGACUCCCAUCGCAUUCAUUUUGCUUCACAAAAACCGAAACGAGACGCAGAGAAAGAGAGAGAGAGAGAGAGAGAGCACCAACGACGAUGCAGACGGUGGUUGAGCUGCUGAAAACCGUCGUUGGUAAAAUGAGGCAGGUGGCCUCGGGUAUGACAACGUUGUGCUGGAGCGAGAGCGUUUUUUCCAUGGCGGAAAAAGUCGCUAAACAGCUGGUCAUCAUUGGACCCGAGGUUCUUUUCUUCGGAGUUUUGAAAUGCUUCCUUGGUGGAAGUGGGAGGAUGGCUUCUGCCGCCAUUUUUAUUCUGGAGAUAAUCAUCAACUCAAGACCGUGGAAUCUUUA